rnacentral:rRNA from 1 species
GCCCCACCCACCUAGAGGAGCCUGUUCUAUAAUCGAUAACCCCCGCUUAACCUCACCACUUCUUGCCAAUACCGCCUAUAUACCACCGUCGCCAGCCCACCCCGUGAGGGAAAUAGUAGGCACAAUGAUAAGUCACCAAAACGUCAGGUCAAGGUGUAGCGUAUGAAGUGGAAAGAAAUGGGCUACAUUCUCUAACCUAGAGCACACGAAAAAUCAUAUGAAAUUAGAUUAGAAGGAGGAUUUAGUAGUAAAAAGAAACAAUAGUGUUCUUUUUAAGUUGGCCCUGGGGCGCGCACACACCGCCCGUCACCCUCUUCAACUAAUAAAAACACGAUUUAUAAAACACAAAACAAACACAAGAAGAGGUAAGUCGUAACAUGGUAAGUAUACCGGAAGGUGUGCUUGGAAUUA